AUGUUUACCUGGCAGGGGAAAUGCCAUGAUCACGAAGGUGGUUUUCCCAGGGCGAGGCUUAUCCAUUGCCCUCCGGAUGUGCUGACCCCUGCGCUUUCCCCAAACGUGGGAAACUCGGCUGCAUCAUUUCUGGUGGUGGCGGACUGUGUUUGCGCUUUCGCCUA